CCCUUAGAUGUUCUGGGCCGCACGCGCGCUACACUGAUGCAUUCAACGAGUUUUUCCUGGUCCGAGAGGAAUGGGUAACCUUUUGAAAGUGCAUCGUGCUAGGGAUAGACUAUUGCAAUUAUUGGUCUUCAACGAGGAAUUCCUAGUAGACGUAGUUCAUCAGACUGCAUCGAUUACGUCCCUGCCCUUUGUACACACCGCCCGUCGCUCCUACCGAUUGGAUGAUCCGGUGAGCUAUUCGGACCUUCGCUUCGUCGAUUUUCGGCUUUGUGAGGGAAAGCCUCGCGAACCUUAUCAUCUAGAGGAAGGAGAAGUCGUAACA
rnacentral:rRNA from 1 species